GGCUUAGUGGUCUAGUAGUAUGAUUCCUCCUUCGGGUGUGAAUCCGUUAGCAGUGGUCUGAUAUUUGGAGGAGGUCCUGGGUUCAAUUCCCAGCUAAGCCC